GAAAAACCUAUUUAUGGAAUUUUUAGACCUUAGUGAUAGCAAUAUUGAAUGAUAAAUAUUGUUAUAUGAACCAGGAUGUUAUAUAUUUAUAGUUAUAUCGCUGUAUAUUUAAGAGCACAAAGUUUUAUAUGACUUUUUGAAUAUUUUUUUAUGAAUGAAAGGCUGUGCUUAUACUUUUGCGAAUUUUACACGAGAAACAAGAAUAUUUUAUUUGAUUUAAUAUUUUAGAUCAAGUUUGUAUAUUUUACUUUAAUUUUCCAUCCAAUUGUAUUCCGUCUGUCAGAAGGGCAUUCCAUUUGACUGGUUCCCGUCUUUUUUUUUUAAUGCGUAUUACAAUUACUGGUACCCUUGUCCUUCUGUUUUACAUUCCUACCAAGCUGUGAUAAAAUACAUACAGGUAUUGUGGUAUAUGUCGUGUGGAGUCCCUGUUCUGUAGUCUCUGUUUUAGAUACUGUAGCUUCGUUUUAUUGUGAACUUUGACCUGGUUAUGUUUGUGCCUUUAUAUUUGAAAUCUAAUGCCCUAGUUUUCUUCUUGUUACUGCUGGGAAAGAUUUUUUUUAUUGAUGUUUUAUGUGCAUUUCAUUACAUUUUCACUAUUUGUCCUAUAAUGUCCUUGUGAAUGUACCGGUAUGUAUGAUAGAAAGACUGAAAAUUUUUACUCUGUCUUAAUCAAUUGUAUAAUCGCUUGCUGCAUUCUUGCAUCAAAUCAUUUCAAAGCUAUACAAUAAUUGAUAUUCUGACACAAGUCUUGUGGACGGUUAAAUCUGCAUGGAACGAAUUUUCUGCUGUUUACAUAGGAAUGUUCUGUGUUGUUUAAGCAGACCUCAGAAGAUUUAGUACUGUAGAUCUGGCAAUGGAUUUUAAAUCUCUUGAAAACUUAUUUCUAUAUACACUAUAGUUUGGUGUUUGUGCAUGUAUAUAAAUCUUAUAGAUUCUAUGAUUAUGAAUUGUUUAUUUAUUAUCUAGUCAUAUUGUCUACGUAAUUUAUUAGUUACUUAAAUUUGUUUGUGACCAUCAAUAAUACAAUAAUAUAAAUAAUAUUUGCCAGACUUGUAUAUAUAUAUAGAAUAGGAUUAACGAAGGUAGUUAGAAUCCAUGUUUGAACUGAUUAUUAAAUUGCUUUAUCAAUAUUUAUAUGAUAUUUAUGUACAAUAUGCUGUAUAUAAUUGUAGUUUAUGAAAAUGCUUGACGAGACAUUUUAAUGGUGAAAACACUGGUUCAUAUCUUCACGCUGUUCUGUUAACAAGAUUUUAGACUUUAAUGAACUAUCAUUUAUCGCUUAGUGCCAUGGAUGCAGAGUAGUCAAAGAGUCAUGGUGUACUGGUGAAUUCUGAAUAAUAUUCUUACAGAAUAAAAAAUACUUGAAAAUGC
rnacentral:sRNA from 1 species